AUGUUACAAGCUGCAGAUAACAGAAAAAAAAAAAAAAAAGAAAAUUGGAAACCCUGAUGUAAUAACUGCUCUUUGCAUAAAGUACUAUUUGACCUGGAGUGAAGACCGUGAGUUCUACAGUUUGCAUUGGUUGGAUAAAUUAUGUUAAAAACCAGAGUGUGCUGACCAACUUCUUAUUUUACAGACACUAGGCAGUGAAUGGGACGGAUAGCUCUUCAGUAAGUUACACUCUUGGGGGCAUUAAAAUCACUCUGAAUUUAUACUUAGUAUAAGUAUACAGGGUAAACAGACAAAUGAAAAAUGAUGUUAACAUGUCCCUGAUCCCUGUGUACAGUGAUGAUCCACUAAUGUGUAUUUUACGUAUACCUUAGUUAGAUUUCUCCACAAAUAAGGUAUAUAUAAAAUCAACUCCAGUCGAAAAGCAGGCACGCAUGAGGUCAAACUUGGUAACUCUUACCAGAGGACUGCAAAAUGGAAUUGAAAGAUGUUUGUCUUGGUGCAGAGAAUUUUUGAAAUCCCUGUAAUCAACAAUUUCCAGGAACUUUUUAAAAACCAUGGCAUAAAGUUCAAAAUUUUUGCACCAAAAUAAAUUUAUCUUUUAAUUCCAUUUUCCAUGAACUUUUUAAAAGUAUUUGAGAGAGAGACAGAAUAUACUCCCAUCAGCUGGUUUACUUCCCAAAUGUCCACAUUGGCCAGGGCUGGGUGGGGCUUAAGCUGUUGGGAGCCAAGAACCCAAUCCAGGUCUCCCACGUGAGUGGUAGGGAUAGGGACCAACUCCCUGAGUCAUCACCACCACCCCCAGGGGCUGCACUGGCAGAAGGCCUGAGACAGGAGCCAGAGCCAGGACAGGAACCCAGGUGCUCUGAUGUGGCUUGGGAGUCUUAACGAUGAAGCUAAACACCGCUGCCCUAUGGGAUUUUCAAACUUCCUCUUGGCUACUCCUUCUCAGCCUCUUUCAUGGAGUUCUUCUUCUCUCUUGUUCAUUAUGUAUUAAUAUUUCAGAGCAUGCAUAUCCUGUCUCUUGUAUCAUUCACUUCUGUAUUUUUUGUUAUGAUCAUAUGGCUAACUGGCCAUCAGGCAUUUUGACUUGAAAAUCCUAUAGCCAACUCAACGUAUCCCAAACUGAAUUUUUAACUCUUGUUAAAAUGCAGUUCUCUGUUCCCCCUCUUAGUUAUUUCUGCAUCCGGGUAUGUGUACAGGCCAUUAACCUAAGAGUCACCACUAUUAGUCUUGCUGAUUAUUUCAUUUUGUUAAUCUUGCUAAUCACUUGUAUAGCUCUUAGAUCAACUCACACCUUUACAUUUAAAUUAACAUUGGUGGCCUGAGCUGCGGCUCAAUAGGCUAAUCCUCCACCUGCGGUGCAGGCACCCGGGGGUUCUAGUCCCGGUGGUCGAGGUGCCAGAUUCUGUCCUGGUUGCCCCUCUUCCAGGCCAGCUCUCUGCUGUGGCCCGGGAGUGCAGUGGAGGAUGGCCCAAGUGCUUGGGCCCUGCACCCCGCUUGGGAGACCAGGAGAAGUACCUGGCUCCUGCCUUCAGAUCAGCGUGGUGCACCGGCCACAGCAGCCAUUGGGGGGAGAACUAAUGGAAAAGGAAGACCUUUCUCUCUGUUUCUCUCUCUCACUGUCCACUCUGCCUGUCAAAAAAAAAAAAUUAACAUUGGUCUGUUCAGAACUCCGUAGUCUCUACUAUGUACUAUAUUUCAAACACUUCAAAGGCAUAUAUCUAUUUAUUUGCUAUAUUAGUAUGUAAAUUUGCAAGUUAUAUAUAUUGCAGGAAAAAAGCUUAUAUAUACACUGCAGCAAAAAUAUAAUUUGGGGGUCAACAUGGUGAUGCACCAGUUUAAACUGUUGAAACCCUGGCGUCCCAUAUCAGAGUUCUGCUUUGAGUGCCAGGUGCUCUGCUUCUGCUCCAGUUUCCUGCUAAUGAACUUGGGAAGGUGCCUGAUGAUGGCUCAAGUACUUAGUCCUUGCUACCCAUGGAGGAGAACUUGAAGUAAACAAGCUACUAUAAUAUUAUAUUGAGGGAAGCAAUCAUGUAAAAUGGACAGCAUACCACAUCAGAAAAACCUAUUUGAAUACUCUCUGAAUACUAUUUGUAUAAUAAAAAAUUUGAGGCAUAUCAUUUGUUAGGCAAUCUCUUUCCUUUUUCUUAAAGAUUAGCAUCUACAUCCUAUUAGUGUGGUUGCAUUAAUGUAGAACAUUUCUGUUCUACAGAUUUUUCAUCAACUGUCUUCCCUGCUCUGAAAACCACAGCAUGCAGCAGAAAGAUUAAAUAGCUCAUUAUUCCUUCUUCUGGGCCUUCAAAGAAUCAGCUGGUUUCCACUUCACGUGCAAGCUUAGCAAAGUACGCUUAAUUGCCUAUCACUCACAUGGAGAAAUGUUCCAAAUAGGGGAUGCUAUUUAAAACAGCUUCAAGUUCAUGUUCUUAACACAUCCAUAUUCAACUGAAUAGAAACGCAUGGCAAAUAAUCAAUGCUUGCAUUCAGAAAACAUGGUAUCUAGCCGAGAUUUUGAGCAUUGAAGUUCUAAUAAGCUGAUUUUGUUUUGUUUUGUUUUCAAUAAUGGUUAUUCUCUACAUUGGCCAGAAAUAGUCCCAAAUGAUCAUUGGAAAACAUAGAGCAGACUAAAGACAAAUACAAAUCAUAUGCUAACAAUUUGGAGGGAGUCUUUCAUAGUCUUUUUUCAGCAUUUCCUUCUCACUACUACCAAAAAUCUUGACACACCCGGGGACAUCAUAGUCUUUUUUCAUAAGGAAUAACCAGACAGACUUCAAAGGAAGGAUUUUUCUAGUUUUGUUUUCAGCAUUUCCUUCUCAAUAUUACCGAAAAUCUUGACACACCCUGGGACAUACCUCAGUGUGCCAUUAGGGGGCAGUAUUGCAGCUUCUGAGCUGUAAAACAGAACUGCUGGCCCGAGACUGCCGCACCCCGGCUCCUGUACCAUGCAGCGGAUGAACAGGGUAACGGGCAGAGUAACCUGUGAGUAACGCCUAUGAGCCGCCGCUCUGUAGCUGUGUCCAUGGUAACUUCUAACUGAACGGGCAGCUCGUCUGGAACGGCUGAUGUCUGUAAGUGAAAUGACAAAUCAAAAACUGCAUUGCAGAGGAUCAAACUACACCAUCCACCACCUCCACGACUGAAGACCUUAAGGGGGGAAAAGAGAGGAAAAGCUCAAAAUAAUUUAGUGUCUUUUGAGUUUGAUGGACUUCAAUGUUUGAUUAUUCUACUGAAAUCUCAACACAAUAACUAUAUUGCGGUGUGAAACACACACACGCUCUAUUCCAAAUUUACAGUAAAAAAGAAAAGGGGGUGUUUAAUGCCCAUAAUCCCUGGCAGCUGAAUUCUCCAAAUGCUUCAGCUGCCUGGAUUCUUCUCUUCCUUGCAGGCCAUAGCAGAGAGCUGGAUCGGAAGUGGAGCAGCCGGGACUCGAACCAGCCCCCAUAGGGAUGCCGGCGCUUCAGGCCAGGGAAGUAAACCACUGCGCCACAGCGCCGGCCCCAAAACGGUAAGGAUUUAAUGUUUUCAGUCUCCUUUAAUAUCUCUUAAAGUCACAACAUAGAAAUAGAAAUGAGUAAAAGGUGACAGUAAGAAAUACCAAUUACAUUACCAGGCAUCAAUUUUCCUAGAAUCAAGUUAAUGAUGCUUACAUCUUAGAACUGUUUUCUAUUAUACCCAAAUUUGAAUGCAGAGAGAACUUUUGGCUUUUAUAAAGAUCCAUAUCUUGGGGCUGGCUCUGGCAUAGCAGCUAAAGCCACUGCCUGCACUGCCAGCAUCUCAUAUGGGUGCCAGUUCGAAUCGUGGCUGCUCCACUUCCGAUCCAGCUCUCUGCUAUGGCCUGGGAAAGCAGUAGAAGAUGGCCCAAUUCCUUGGGCCCCUGCACCAUGUGGGAGACCUGGAAGAAGCUCUUGGCUCCUGGCUUCAGAUUGGUGCAGCUCCAGCCAUUACGGCCAAUUGGGGAGUGAACCAGCAGUUGGAAGACCUCUCUCUCCCUCUCUCUCUCGCUCUCUUUCUCUCUGCCUCUGCCUCUUUGUAACUCUGCCUUUCAAACAAAUAUAUAAGUCCUUUAAAAAGAGGUAGAAAACAUGUAGUUGCCCUCCCAGACAAGCUAAUUCAGAUGUUGUCCAAUGGAAAGGCUUAGAGAACAAACUGAAGUGCUGGAACCACAUAGCUUAUUGAACGAAUCUUAAACACACAGCAAAAACCAAGGGGAAGCAAUGCAAUACAUGAACAUACUUAGCAUGGGCGCAGUGCUUCCUGAGUCUUAUCCCAUGCUCAGCUGUCUGAAAUGCCUUAUGACCGUUUGGCACCCUCUGCACUAGUUUGCUGGGGUUGCCAUGGAGGGGCACCACAGACUAUGUGGCACAAGCAGAAGGGCACUGUUGUCAGAGGGGUUUGUUCUGUUGAGACUUCUAGAGGAUACUGCCUUCCGUGGCUCCCCCCAGCCCCUCCCUACUCCAUGAGCUGCCUGUUGUGUAGAAGGCGACACUGCUCAUCUAUUCGCAGAGGCAGAGGCUGAGUGACAGCAGGUUCCAUAGCCACUCAAUCACAGAGAGCCUGUGAGGCUCCAAAGAAGAUGCAGGGUCUAUUCUGCAAAUGAGAAGGGAAGGGAGAUUGAGAGAAGAGAGUCAGCUUUUCAGGAACGCUUCUGAUCAGUCUCUGCAAACAUUGAAGAAUGACGUGUUUCUGCUGGGUUCCCAGGGUAGCCAUCCAGUUUCCUUUCAUUAAGCUUGAUUCCUGAUAUCUUAUGAACGAGACAUGCCAUAAAACACUGGCAGUACCUAGAAAUGGUUCCUCUUGGCAAAGAUAAAAACUACAAAGAGUAAUGAGAUACAAACUACAAUGCAUAGUACUUUGUAAUAGUUCUCUAAUAUUUAGAAAUUUAAAGGUUAGGGGCAACAAUGAGAAAAGAUGUUCAUUCUUUACAGCAAAGAGAUUGAAGUUAAACACAAAGAGAAAGAGCUAACAUUAGAGUGUUCCAGAAACAGCCUACAAAAAAUAUUUUCCUUCUCAUUUCGUAUAUGCAUCUCUUUGCUCUGUAAGUCUUAGGUUUACCUGGUCCUGUACUUGCAAAAUUGCUAAAGACAUUCAUUAGGAGCUUGCUCACUAACUGCACAGGGUGAAGGUCAACUUUCAACAGAUUGCAUUUCAGCAUCCUGCUCUCCAAACCCAGAUGCUGGGUGCCAUGGAAAUUCUAGAAUUUUGAUUUAGCCUCUCUGCCACUGGGCAUGGACAGCCACAUUUUGAAAACCUGCAGGGAACUUGAUGAUCAGUUAGCACAAGAACUUCCCAUUUAAUCCCUAAGCAGCUAAUGCAAUACUUUGCAGUCACAUAAAGAAAAAAGUGUUCCAGAGCCACAGGCUCAUGCUGCUCCCCAGAGCGUGCCUCCCCAGAAUGAAGUCUUCAGAAUUUUUCUCAAGAUUCUGUUGCUAAAACACCUUUGAAUGUAUUCUGCCAAUGUGUGAUCUGGCUUAUUUGUAAAUCAUAGAUUGUAAUACUGCAGUAAUACAAAUCAGUGUUCCAAAGCUUUUCCAACUAGGAAAUUCAAAAAGAUGAGGUAAAAUGAAUCACAGAUAAUUUUGGGCACAUUGGAAAGAGUUUGUUCUGCUUUAGGGUCCCACCAUGAAUGUGUACUGAGAGAACAAACACAGUUCACUUUCUCUACCACUCUCUAUUUUAAUGGCCCUCUGCAGGUCACAGAAUCUUUUCAUAUCUGUAAUAUUAUUUGAAGCUCAAACAUCCUAUGAGAUGGGCUUAGUUAAUAUUAAUAACCUCCCAUCAUUGAGUAUAUUGAAGCCCCAGCAGGACAUGUUCAGUAUCACGUAACUAAAAAUAGUGUCUAAGACAGAAAUCCAAGAUUUUAAAAAUAGAUUUACUUAUCUAUUUAGCUAAUGUGUUUAGUUGAAAGACAAAACAACAAAGAUGGAGAAACUAAAAGAGAGAUUUUCCAUCUUCUUGCGCAUACCCCAACAGUCAAGUCAGGCCUGAAACCAGGAACUUCAUCCUAGUCACCCACAUGGGUUGCAGGGGCCCAACCACUUGGGACAUCUUCCCCUGCCUUCCUAUGUUCAUAGCAGAGAGCUGGAUGGAAAGCAGAGGAGGUGGGUCUCAGGCACUCUGAUACAGUAUGUCUGCAUUGCAAGUGGUGGCUUAGCCUACUGUGCCGCAACACUGGCCCCCCAAAUCCACGUCUUUGGUCUCAGAAUUGACUACUUCAUAAUCCAUGGCUCAACUGGGCAGGAGCUACGAUUAUAUUUCCCUUCUUUCUACCCUGAGGCAGAAGACAAUAAAAUGUUGCCUUUUUGCUACACUUGUUUUAAAGAUAAAUACAGCUGCCUAUUGGAAUUAUGUGAGACCAGAUGUGGUAAGAACAGAGUAAAGUUUCAUAGGCUAGCUAAGCAUAAACAUCUCUAUGUAAUAUCUGUAGUGAAAUGCAGUGAUUCUCAGCUUCGGAUGGCUCCCCUGGGGGAUAUGUGACUACAUGCAGAGACUUCUGGUGGCUAAACCCGGUGGGUCUGGGGGAUUUGCAACUGAUACUUGAUUGUUAGAGGUUGUGGAUGCUACUCAACCUCCUCCAUUCUUACCAUGCAUAGAACAAUGCCCACCACAGAAAUGCAUCUGGCCCCAAAUGUCAAUAAUGCUAAGGUUGAGAUAUACCCUCACUGUAGUACUUGUCCAUGUCUUAGUUAUGAAUCACUGUAAGUGGCUGUUGAAAUCUGUGCAGCCACCCUAAACACAGGCAUGUACACCCCAAACAUUGCACGCUCUCCCAGCAUUUUCUGACUCGCUGAGGCAUAUUCGCAGGUCACAGAAUGAGAACCCUAGACCUGCAGGGAAAGCAAACAGUGGGUCCCAAAGACCUCUGUUGAAUUGACCUCACUGCUGCAGCUCCUCAGAGAAGCGAGUCAUCCUGAGGCACAUUCUGGGAAUCCUGAGAUUAGACAAGAGAGUCAGAGGUUCUUAUGCAGCCUUUGGGUCUGAAAGCACCACUGCUUCCUGGGAUAUUAAAGUCAUUCAUAACCCGAUAAAGCAAUAUUUGUACUUCUUAAUUGAAAAGGAGGCUUCCAAAACCACACUCCGCAAGACAUUUUUAAUUAAAAAGAAAAAGGCCACGAAUCUGAAAACUGGCUUGUUGGUUAUAUCAUUUCAUGGAGCCCUUCUGAGGGGGAUUAGAGGAUUUGCCUCAUAAAGUGUGCCAUGCAGUGAUUAUACCAGUUAGAGGGCCCCUGGCGGGUUAUAAUUUUUCAUCUCAUGAGGCUGAGAAUGGCUACUCCAUGAAAGCCUUGUCACUUGACUUUAUGGCUGAGGGAUGGAGGGGAGGGAAUAGGGAAGGAAUUAUGAGAUAGGCAGUUCGUCUUCAGUCACUUUUGCAAGUCUCUCUAUCCUGUCUCCAAUUUUGGGCUAAAAUUCCAUCUGCUUAGGGCUUUCAUUCUUCUAUCAAAAUCUUGCAUUGUGUAUGUACUCAAGCCAUGUACACUUUUACAAAACCAAUCCUACAAUAAAGCUGUUGUACUUUCCCAAUAGUAAGUGUUUAAGGCUAAAUAAUAGGCUAAUAAAUAUUUAGGGACCGAGACAGACUUGUUAUGGGCUCCCCAAUCUAACAAGCUGCAACACUACUCUUACCAAAAGCAUUGAUUACUAAAAAGGAAAAACUUUAUCUAUAUGGACUCAUCACAUUGUAUCUUAUUAAAAUAGACCAGUUAAGCAAACCAGUUAUUUUAUCUAUUAACGCCUAUUCAAUAGCCUGUUACAACAUAUGUAUCUUAAAACUGCUGUCUCCCUUUCUUCAAUAAUAUGAAUUUAAUUUGAUAUCUCCUAUGCAAUUUGGAUUUAGCAUGAAACUUUUUGUGUAUUUAAACUCAACAAAUAUCUUAGAGGCUUAUUAUCUAUAGAGCUUUUUUAAAAAAAGAUUUAUUUAUUUAUUUAUUAGAAAGCCAGAGUUACAAAGAAAGAGGAAGAGGGAGGGAGAGUGGGAGGAGAGAUAUUUUCUUUUUCUUUUCUUUUCUUUUUUUUUUUUUUUUUUUUUUUGACAGGCAGAGUGGACAGUGAGAGAGAGAGACAGAGAGAAAGGUCUUCCUUUGCCGUUGGUUCACCCUCCAAUGGCCGCCGCGGCCGGAGCGCUGCGGCCAGCGUACCGCGCUGAUCCGAUGGCAGGAGCCAGGAGCCAGGUGCUUUUCCUGGUCUCCCAUGGGGUGCAGGGCCCAAGCACCUGGGCCAUCCUCCACUGCACUCCCUGGCCACAGCAGAGGGCUGGCCUGGAAGAGGGGCAACCGGGACAGAAUCCGGCACCCCGACCGGGACUAGAACCCGGUGUGCCGGCGCCGCUAGGCGGAGGAUUAGCCUAGUGAGCCGCGGCGCCGGCCAGGAGAGAUAUUUUCUUUUUUUAUUUAUUUAUUUAUUUAUUUUUAUUUAUUUAUUUAUUUUUUUUUUUUGACAGGCAGAGUGGACAGUGAGAGAGAGAGACAGAGAGAAAGGUCUUCCUUUGCCAUUGGUUCACCCUCCAAUGGCCGCCGCUGCAGCCGGCGCACCACGCUGAUCCGAUGGCAGGAGCAAUGAUCCAGGUGCUUUUCCUGGUCUCCCAUGGGGUGCAGGGCCCAAGCACCUGGGCCAUUCUCCACUGCACUCCCUGGCCAUAGCAGAGAGCUGGCCUGGAAGAGGGGCAACCGGGACAGAAUCCGGCGCCCCAUCCGGGACUAGAACCCGGUGUGCUGGCGCCGCAAGGUGGAGGAUUAGCCUAUUGAGCCACGGCGCCGGCUCAGGAGAGAUAUUUUCUAUCCACUGGUUCACUCCCCAGAGGGACGCAAAGGCCUGGAAUGAAGCCAAGAACUUCUUCCAGGCCUCCCAUGUGAUGGCAGGGGCCCAAACAGUUGGACCAUCUUCCACUGCUUUUCCAGGCCAUUAGCAGGCAGCUGGAGCAGAAGAGGAACAGCCAGGCCAGGAACCGGUGCCUAUUGUGGAUGCCAGCAUUUCAGGCGGCAGCUUUAUCAGUUAUGAUACCACAUCUGCCCCAUAGAGUCUUAAAAUAUUAAAAUCCCCCAAUUCUAACUGGGAUCUAAAAUAGAAGUCAUUCAAAAACAAAUAUAAACUAUUAGAAGAAAAUAGUUUUAUUCAAACUGUAUAGAAUGUUUUCCCGUAUUGCUUAAAUGAAAGCAUGGUUACCCAAGCCUGUCUUAGGACAGAGAGAUGGAGAAAGAUAAAUUCAAUCUGUAAGCAGAUCAGGGAGGAGGCCAAGAAGUCAACAGCUUCUUCCCUUGAAACAAACAAAACCCUCCAAGCCCUGGAGACCAUCAGACAUUUGGUAGAUUUCAACACCAAGCUCCUUGCUCCAUGCUGGGCAACAUACAACGAAUGUAACACAAAUCCUUUCCUCUCAAGGUACACAUUUCAAAUCACUAUUAUAGACAAAAAGGAAGAGAAGGAUGGAGGGAGGGAAGAAGGAAGGAAAACAAGAAGGAGGGAGGGAGGAAUGGAGAGAAGGAAAAAGGUCUUAGAGAAGGUAUUUUACAGUGCCCUAAUCUACAAGCCCAAAGAACUCAAACAUAAAUUUCUUUCUCAUUUCUGUAAUUGUUUGCCUCAGCAGAUGUAAAGAUUCAGCCCCAGGCUGGCGCCACGGUUCACUAGGCUAAUCCUCUGCCUGCGGUGCCAGCACACCGGGUUCUAGUCCCAGUCGGGGCGCCAGAUUCUUUCCCAGUUGCUCCUCUUCCAGUCCAGCUUUCUGCUGUGGCCCGGGAGUGCAGUGGAGCAUGGCCCAAGUCCUUGGGCCCUGCACCCUAUGGGAGACCAGGAGAAGCACCUGGCUCCUGCCUUCAGAUCAGCGCGGUGCGCCAGCCGCAGCACGCCGGCCACAGAGGCCAUUGGAGGGUGAACCAAUGGUAGAGGAAGACCUUUCUCCCUGUCUCUCUCUCACUGUUCACUCUGCCUGUCAAAAAAAAAAAAUUCAGCCCCAAAUGAUGACCUAAAAUUUCAACAGUAUCACGAAAUACAAUGAAUGAUGAUUUUUUUCCAUUCCUAGACUCUCCACAGACUUCCCCAGGUAGCCCUAGAUUGAUGCAAACUGCCCUUGGUGCCCACUACCUCCUUUCAGACAGCCUCCAUGCACUUUUCCUAUGGUAGCCAGUGAUCAAAGAAACCUCCCUGCAGAGCAGGGCAACCUCACCAAGAUGAUUAGAAUCCACCCAUGACUUAACAUUAUGAGUCUGUCUAGAUGCUGCCAUUGGAUUUCCACCCUCACCCUUACAAUGUCCUCAAAUAUUGGCCAAACAGGUCAAGUCCAUGGCAGAACACCUACAGCUCUCUCCUUGCAUGGUGCCCUGCCACUGCUGCCUGUCCUUCUCCAGAGUUGCUUUUACACACUUUGGAUGGAGUGAGGAAGACAGAAAGUAUUAAAUGCUUAGAUAACUCCUAACCCUCACUGUACUGCCUGAUAAACAAGAAAAACUAUUCAGUGUAAAACCAUGGUUGAAAUCUAGCAGCCCUGCCCACAGUCAGUUGCAUAAUUCGUGGUUCCUGGUGCACAAUGAAAAUGCAAGUUUUCUUGUUCAAAAAAAAAAAAAAAAAAAAAGAAAGAAAGAAAGAAAAGCUCCAUUAAAUAUAAAGUACUUUCCUUUUUCCUGCAGCCUCUGUAAAUGCCAUGGUAUUUUUAUUCAGUUUCUGGGGAGUUGUGGAGCCUCAUAGACACUAGGCCGGCCCCCAUCCUUGAACUUAAUGCAUGUGUGCUCAUGGCCUCAUAAGCCACCAAGUUUCCUGUCUCACCAGGUGUGAGACCAACGUGCCGUGUUCUGGCUGGGGAUCUGGAAGUUCAUCUGCUUUUUCCAAACUGCAACAGACAGGGGACCCUUGAAGGACUGUGACCUCCAAUGCAUUCUGCACCUGGAUGCACUCAGUACCUGGCUGCAAUGAGUACCUGGCUGAGCAGAUGAGAGGUUAGCAUCACACUCGAGCCUGAGAAGCCAUAGUCAGCUAACCCUGACCACGUCUGGGCCCACUUCAUUAUAAAUGUUCAAUGCCAGGAGUACCAAAUGGAGAUCUCAGGAAACUCAACACAGGGCUAGGAGCUGUGUAAGAGUUGAUGAGAUGAGAAGGGAUGGCUUUCAGAUUGUAAAGCUCUUGAGCUUAGCUUUAUUGUGAUUAUUUUUUCCAGCCAUGAUGGCCUACAUAACCAUUAGAAUCUGCCCUGGCUGGUGCUUGGGCUGCCAUAUAGAAAAAUGGAAAGAAAAAAAUAGCAGCACAAUUCACUUCAAGGUAGCUGGUACCAUGGAAAUGCUCACUAACCUUGACGCUCAUGGUAGAAGGGAAAAUUAGGGUUCAGGGCUCAACAGGAAAACUCCAACUUCAGUAACAAGAGACAUGAAGAGGAGGCAAAAAAGUUAAAAAAAAAUACCAUGCAAAACUUGGACUAUGUUGGAAAGCGUUUGUUUGAUGAAAAAGUGGGAAGCAUUUAGGAUCGAACUGAUAAAUAGCUGAGAAGAUAUAAGCAGCAGACUUAAUAGCCUGUGUUUGAGUUGAACUCUUAUUUUAGGAACUAUAGUCUAGCUCAGUUGAGCUAAAUACAUGAAUGAAAAAUGAUAAGACAGAGUCUAGAAUCACAUAUAGACCCAGACUCUUUUUGAAUUUCCUAGUAAUGCAUAGCCCACAUUGAGUAUUUAUGAAAAUAGAAUAAAAGAGGAAAAUCACAUCUAAAAAGUGGCAGCAUGUUAUAUUUGGUAACAUUUACAAACCUGAGUUUAAUAUAAGAAAGGUGACCUAACAAUGGAGAUUAUGGACCUAUUAAUUAUAUAAAAUAUCAUAUUAUUAUAUUUCUUGUUAUGGUACUUCUCAAAUUAUCACUUUUUGCUUCUUUUUAUGUUAACCACAGGAGAUACCUUGAGGAAGAUAUGGAUCACUCCUGCCCAAGGAAAUACUCUUUUUAUCAAUAUUUGAUAUCCUCAUUUUCCAAAUAUAAUUAAUAAUUCAGCAGACUGAAGAUUUACCAACAUUCUGUAACCAUUCCAGGGAAACCUAAACCCUCUUUCCCACCUGCUCCUUCCAGCACUUUGAUUCCCUUAAAUUAAUUUCUUUUUUCAGAUCCAUUAUUUGUUCAUGCUUCUCUUAGUUCUUGGCAUUUGCACCCACAAUUAUAUUCUGCAUGCUGCUUGUAAUUAUCUCGCUGCUAUCCGGGUCUGCAUGAUUUCCCACACUUCAGCUCUACACGAGCGUACUUGAGAUCAUAAUUACAGUCUUGCAUUUUUGUUCAGCAAUUUAAAACAUUUCUAAAAGCAAUGAAUCUCCUGCAAGCAGAACUUCUGGAAUAUACCCUCCAUAUGUGGCUAUUUAUCUUUUGGGGAUUUGGGAUCUCUUUGAGAAUUAGAUAAAUUCUAAUUUAUCUAAUACUGUUUGCUCCAGUACCACAGAGGGAGAGAGAGAGGCGGAGAGGAGGGGACAUUUUCUCAGUUACUCCAUGGAGUCUAGUGACGACAGCUAUUGUAGAAAUUACUGCAUUAGAUGUUUACCAAGGUGGACACAGCUCUCUCCAUACCCCACACUAUGAGACGUUUACUGAUAAUGCAAAGUGUCUUCUUAGACAAAAUUCAUGUGGAUGUGUGGCAUCUGACUCAAUCUUAUUUGUAUAUUUUAACGUCACCAACUGUGAGACGUCUAUAGGACACGCUGUGCUUUUUCUGAUCUCUGUAACGUAUCCUAAUCCCCAACUUCUCUGCUGUCCCAUUGUCCCCUUACUGCAAGUGAUUGCUUCUCCAACACCCCUCUCCCCAGUGCCAGCACUAAUAGUCACAAUCCUACAUCAACCAGCUGCAUUUGGGCAUUUAUUAUCCUUGACCUUACUAUGCUUGCUAUGGGCUAUGGCGUCAGAAGCAAACUAUUACCUGAACUUCACCUCCACACUCCCUGACUCUGCUGUUUUGUGUCCCACCUCAGCUGCUUCUUUGCUUCUACAAUUUUUUUUUUUUUUGACAGGCAGAGUGGACAGUCAGAGAGAGAGAGAGACAGAGAGAAAGGUCUUCCUUUGCCGUUGGUUCACUCUCCAAUGGCCUGCGGCUGGCGCACCACGCUGAUCUGAAGGCAGGAGCCAGGUGCUUCUCCUGGUCUCCCAUGGGGUUCAGGGCCCAAGGACUUGGGCCAUGCUCCACUGCACUCCCGGGCCACAGCAGAGAGCUGGACUGGAAGAGGGGCAACCAGGACAGAAUCCGGCGCUCCGACCCGGGCUAGAACCCGGUGUGCUGGCGCCACAGGUGGAAGAUUAGCCUAUUAAGCCACGGAGCCGGCCUCUACACAAUUUCAUUUUCUUCAUCUUGAGUAAUUCUUGUCAUCCUCUCCAGGGCUGCUCAUGGUUUUGCUUGUCAUAUGGCCCCACUCGCUCUCCCUAGACAAUCCAUGCUACAUGUUUCAGUUAAAAUCCAUGCCCUGUUGAUUCUACUCCUAUUUUAUAUAUAACUCUGAUCACAUUCCAGCUCCAUGUAUGUAUACAGGUUCCUCAUUCAGGGGUCAGCGAUGUGGCACAGUGGACUAAGCUGCCACCUGUGACACUGGCAUUUCAUAUCAGAGCUCUGGUUUGAGUCCUGAAUGCUCUGUUCCCCACCCAGCUCCAUGCCCAUGUGCCUGAGAAGGCAGCAGAAGAUGGCCCGAGUACUUUGGUCCCUGCCACUGAUGUAGAAGACGUACAUGGAGUUCCUGGCUCCUGGCUCGUUCACUUUCUCUCUCUCUGUUUCUCUCUCUGUCUCUGUGUCACUUUGCCUUUCUAAAUAAAUAAAAUAAAUCUUAGUAAAAAGCUGAAUUUUGGGGGCCAGCACUGUGAUGUAGCAGGUAAAGCCAAUGCCUGCAGUGCCGGCAGCCUGUAUGGGCACUGGUUCAAGCCCUGGCUGCUCCACUUCUGAUUCAGCUCUCUUCUAUGGUCUGGGACAGCGGUGGAUGGUGGCCCAAGUCCUUGGGCCCCUGCACCUGUGUGGGAAACCUGGAAGAAGCUCCUGGCUCCUGGCUUCAGGCUUCAGAUUGGCGCAGCCCCAGCUGUUGUGGUCAUUUGGGGAGUGGAACAGUGGAUGGAGCACUUCUCUCUCUCUCUGCCUUUCUGUACCUCUGCCUUUCAAAUAAAUAGAUAAAUCUUUUAAAAAAUAUAUUUUUCACUUGUAUUUUCUUUGAUAAUUCUAAAUUAGUCCUCAAGUCCAACUGUACAAAUGAUCCUUUGGUCCUAAAUCUAAUGUGUGUUCAAGUAUCCUAAUUCUCUGAAUUGCAUUCCGUAAAGUGAAAACCUAGCAGUUAUGUUUGAGACUGUACUCUGUUAGGGUGGGAUCCACAGAAUGCAGAGCCCCUGGUGUGUGCAUUGCCGCUUUGUCAGGAAGGCAAUCAUAGGGUGCUGCAGGGAAAGACAGCAGAAGGAAGCUGAAGGGACGGAGACUUGGCGUGAAGAUGGUACCAAGUGGCACUCAUUGCUACUUCUCCCAGACAGCGCUCUCUGGUAGCCACAUACGCUGCAUUUCAAGAGUUGACUCCUAAGGGAAAGAAGGGGAAGAACUUACCUUCUGUGUGUAAUUCUCUACAUACAAAGUUGAAGCAGUCAGACUUCUAAUUUAGCUCAUGCCAAUUUUUUCAAGAAAUGCAAAUUCUGCUUUGGGAUCCCUGGAACAAUGGGGAGAAGAACGAAUCCUAAAUCAUUCCUGGGUUCUCAGAUGCGAAUGCUCAUCAGCUGUUGCAGACUGAGCUUGUAUGCCAUCUGUUGGGUUCUUACAUGAUCUCAGUGAGUAGUGUUCAUAACCUGACCCCGUAACUGGACUUCACCACGCCACUGCCCUGGUGAGGCAGGCACAUGGUGAAGCCGUGGAUCCUGCGGAUGUGGACUCAUUCGCACACUCCCAGUGUCACAAAAUGUUCUCCUGACUGUUGUGAGGGAUGUAAAUAUCCUGCAUCAGUCAUUCUCUACCUGUUUCGAUACAACAGAGUCUGAACACAGAAACAGACAAUGGUCAGGCCACAUAGAAGAACAGAAGCCACCAGCUUCCGGACUGGAGCCACCAGCACAGUGAAUCAAACUGCAACAUCUGCAGCCCAGCUACUCAAGACUUAAUCAGUAACUUAGAUUCCCUUAUUUUCCCCCUAUUUCCACCUUAGAAUGAACUAGAGGAGACAGAUAUGCCCCCUUCACCAAUUACAUAGCAUGCUCACUUCUGGCUAACCUGCCUCCAGCUUCCCUGUGCCACAAUCCACAAUCAGGGUACACCCGAUGCUUCCUUUUUUUUUUUUUUUUUUUUUUACUGUAAAUUGUUUAUACUGCUCUCCUUGCCUUUGAGUGUUGUGCAAAUUCCAGUGAAAUCAACUGACUCCUUUGCCAUAGCAAACCCUAAAUGAAGAGUCUUUUCUAUUUAUACUAAUUUGAUUGCAGUGUAAUCUCAAGGGGGCCCAAACACCAUUCUGUAUUUAUAUGUGUUUAUCCUAGCCUGACUGUAACCUCUUCAGGGAUAGAAGUCUUACUUAAUUUUAUUUGAAUCCUUAGUUCUGUACUUGAUGAAAACAUGCAUGCACUCACUAAUUAUCUGACUCUGAGAGGGAAAGUAAAAAAUGAACAUUCACCUGGGAAAAUGCCGGGUGGAAACCAUAAUGGUGGAUAAGGCAUUCUGUAUGUCCAGCCAGGAUAGUUUGUCAGAAGCACUGAGUAGAGGCAGCUCCAGGGUGGGUGUCCUAUCUGAAAAAAAUAGUCCAUUGUUACCAACCUGCCAAGAGGAAGCUGACAGAUUUCCCUAGGAACUAGUGUCAUAUUGACAUGGAAUUGGUACUUAAUUGUCAUAGUUGUUAAAACUGCCCAUUGACUUAUUAUGAAACAACAGCAUGAAAGGUUAGCUUUAAAAAAAAAAAAAUUAUCAACUCCCAACUUGACUUUCACUGGGAUUAAACAUGACAAUAGGUCUGAUCUGAUUUCAUCAUCAUUUAAAAAAAAAUCAUCUAUUAUUCCUCACUUUAUGUUUCUGUGUGGGAGCAAACUGUUGAAAUCCUUACUUAAUGUAUACUAAGCUGAUCUUCUGUAUAUUAAGAUAAUCGAAAAUGAAUCUUGAUGUGAAUGGAAGGGGAGAGGGAGUGGGAAAGGGGAGGGCUGUGGGUGGGAGGGACGGUAUGGGGUGAAGCCAUUGUAACCCAUAAAUCGUACUUUGGAAAUUUAUAUUCAUUAAAUAAAAGUUAAAAAAAAAAAAAAGCUCAAAGAUUACAUUGAAAAAAAAAAAAAAGUAAACUUGGAGGGCCCUGGCUCUGUGGCAUAGCAGGCACAGAUGCAGCCUGCAGUGUUAGGAUCCCACAUGGGUACUGGUUCGAGUCCCAGCUUCUCCACUUCCAAUGUAGUUCUCUGCUAUGGCCUGCAAAGACAGUAGAGGAUGGCCCAAGUGCACCUGCAUGGGAGACCCAGGAGAAGUUCCUGGAUUUUGGUUUCUGGCUUUAUAUUGGCCCAGCCCCAGCUCUUGUGGUUAUUUGGGGUGUGAACCAGCAGAUAGAAGAUCUUUCUCUCUUGUCUCUCCCUCUCAAAUAAAUAAAUAAAAUCUUUUUAAAAAAUAAACAUGGAAUAUGUAUUAAUAUUCUGGAUAUCAUCUUUGAAAAUGUUGAAAUGAUGGGAUAUCUUAUCCUGUAAAUUUAUUAAACUUACCUUUGAACCACAGCUGCAAGUGAUCUAUUAAUAUUGAAGAUUAUGGCCCACAUUUAGUUCAUAUAUAGCCUGUUUUAUAUCUUAAGAUAUAUUUUCCUAUUUCAAAAUUCAAAAUUUAUUUGAGGGCAGAGAGAUAGAGAGAGAAAACAGACGAACACACAGAGAUAAACAGACAGAUAGACAGACUGAUGGAGAUGUCCCAUCUGCUAAUUUACACCCCAAAUUCCAGCAACAUCCAGGUCCCCCACAUGGCUGGCAGGAACCCAAACACUUGGGCAACCUUCUGCUGCUUUUCCAGGCACAGUGGCAGGGAGCUGAAUUGGAAGCAGAGCAGCCAGGCCUAAAACCUGUCCUCUGAUAUGGAAUACCACCAUUGCAAGUCGCAACUUAACCCAUUAUGCCACCGCACCUAAUAACUAGACUAAAUAUCUACUCCCUAAAUUAAAAAAAAAAGCCUUAAAAUUAGCUAUUACUAUAGCUUCAGUGUGUCCCAUACAGUACAACCAGGGUUGGGCCAGGUUGAAGCACAUAGCCAGGAACUCCAUCCAAAUCUCCCAUGUCAGUGGAUGGGGCCCAAGUACUUUGGUCAUCUUGCCAGGCAUACUCGCAGAAAGCUGGAAAGGAAAUGGAAUAGCCAGGAUUUGACUCAGGGCUCUGAUAUGGGAUGCAGACAUCACAAACAGGAGCUUAACUAGCGGCACCACGUGACUUUCCUCUGCAUAGUACGUUUCUUUGUAUUGAUGGGUAAUUCUCCAGUGUAUGGAUGUACCACAGCCUGCUUAUCCACUUGUCCAUUGAGGGACAACUUGGUGGCUUCCAAUUUUUGAAGAUUGUGAAAUAAAUUAACAUAACUAUGUCUAUGUAGGUUUUUGCAUUAGUAUAAAAUUUUAAGUCAAAAGGGGGCAUAUCUAGGAGCAUGAUAUAUGGUAAGAUUUUAGGUUUAUAAGAAACUACCAGAUUGUCUUUCUAAAGUGGCUGUGCCAUUUUUGCACCCCUACCAGGAAUAAAUGACAGUUGCUGUUAUUCCAUGUUCUUGCCAGCAUUUGCUAUUCAGUUCUUUGAAUUAAAAACUUUCUAAUAGGUAUGUACUGGUAUCUUGUUUUGUUAAUGUUCAAUUCUUUAUUUAUUAUUUAUUUGGCAGGUAGAGUUAUAGACAGUGAGAGAGAGACAGAGAGAAAGGUCUUCCUUCCGUUGAUUCACCCCCCAAAUGGCUGCUACAGCCGGCACUGCGCCAAUCCAAAGCCAGGAGCCAGGUGCUUCUUCCUGGUCUUCCAUGCGGGUGCAGGGGCCCAAGCACUUGUGCCAUCCUCCACUGCCCUCCUGGGCCACAGCAGAGAGCUGGACUGGAGGAGGGGCAGCCAGGACUAGAACCCAGUGCCCAUAUGGGAUGCUGGUGCUAAAGGCAGAGGAUUAACCAAGUGAGCCACGGCGCCGGCCCCUGACCAAAUAUUCUUAUGCUUCAUUUUUUUCAUGUUUAUAGAUUCUACCAUCUACUGUUUGUUCAGAACUUCUAUCCAUUUCUUAAUCCACUUGUUUCUUAAUUGUUGAAUGUCAUGAUUUCUUUGCAUAUAUUAGGUAUAAUAGCUUCAUUAGGUGCUUUGCAAAUAUUGUCUCCAGUCUUUGGUUUAUAUUUUAUUGUCUUUAUAAUGCCUUACAUAGAGCAAGAGUUUUUCACUUUAUUUUUUAAAGAUUUAUUUAUUUAUUUGAAAGUCAGAGUUGCACAGAGGGAGAAGGAGAGGCAGAGAGAGAGAGAAUCUUCCAUCCACUGGUUCACUCUCCAACUAUCUGCAUUGGCCAGAGCUGCGCCAAUCUGAAGUCAGGAACCAGGAGCUUCUUUCAGGUCUCCCGAAGGGGCCCAAGGACUUGAGUCAUCUUCCACUGCUUUCCCAGGCUAUAGCAGAGAGUUGGAUUGGAAGUGGAGCAGCCAGGACUCGAACAGCACCCAUAUGGGAUGCCGGCACUGCAGGUGGUGGCUUUACCCGCUACACCACAGCGCCGGCCCCAAGUUUUUCACUUUAAUAAAAUACAACUUAUACUUUUUCUAUCAUAGAACUUUUUUGUCCUUCCCUAUAAAAAGUCAUGAUCAAAUACAGUAUCAGCAAGGCAGUCUCCAAUCUUACCUUAUGGAAAUUUUGUAGAAUUGCAUUUUACACUUCAAUCUGAUUUAUUUUGUAUUAGUUUAUGUGAAAGGUGUGCAGAUUCUGUCUAGAUUAUUUAUUUUUUGCAUAAAGAUGACCAUUUGCUUUACUAGCAUUUGAAUGUUUUUGUAACUUUGUCAAAGAUCAUAGACUGUAUUUAUGUAGACAUACUAUAGAAUUUCUUUUUAAAACUAGCACAUAAUUGUACAUAUUUAUCAGGUAUGGUGUAAUAAUUCAAACAUGUAUACAACAUUCAAUGAUCAAAUAAGAGUAAUUAUUUGCAUCUUGUUAUGCAUUUGUUAUUUCUUUUUUCAAAGUCUUUGAACUCUUUUCUCCUGAUUCUUUAUAAGGUUUGUGAUAAAUUGUAACCCUAGAACUCCUCCCUCCUCCCUGUAGUUUAGUGCUCUUUAUGUAGCCUCCCAUUAUCUCUGCCUCCAGCUUCCCUGCUGCCUCCAGUGACCCCUUUUCUACUCUCGUCUUCUGCAUAUCAGUCAGAACAUGCAAUGUUUGUAUUUCUGUGCCUGGCUUAUAUCACUAAACAUAGUGUUCUCCAUUGCCAUCUAUGUUGCCUCACACAAAAGGAUUCCACUCCUUUUUAUGACUGAAUAAUAUUCUGUUGUGUAUAUAUGUGGGUUUUUUAUCUACUCAUCUCUUGAUGGAACGUUGUUGUUUCCAUACUUAAUGUAUUUUGAAUAGUGUUGCAGUGAACAUGGAAGUGCAGACAUUUCUUUGAGACCCUCCCUGCUCAGCAGACAAAAUAAUUGACAGAAUAUAUAGUGAAGAGUUAAAAUUGUAUAUGUGCGGGUGUAAAAAGUUAAGCUUAAGCUUACAGGUUUAAACCUUGCUGGUACAGCUGUAAAAAAAUAAGACAGAGUAGCACCUUGGCAGUAGGGACUCCAUUUUGGAGCACUUGAGACUGCAUUCUGGGAAAGCACCCCCCACCGUGAGACUCUGGUCUGAAACUAUGAUCUCAAAUAGUCGGACAAUAGCAGUGCACUACAUCACCCUUGGCAACACACAAAAACCCCCUAGCAUGAUUGCUCAAGCUUAAAAGUAGAAAGGUUGCACCUGGGUUACCUGGGCUAAUAAUGAAGAUGUGAUUUGUCUGUGUCUUACAUUAAUGUCAAGUCCUAAUUGCUGAUUGUAAUAUUGUAACUGGUAUUGUCAAGAUUAUGAUAAAUAUUAAUUUCACUUAGGUUUUAGGUUAUGUUGACCCCAGUAACCAUAUACUCUCUUUUGAUUUUAUGUACUCUCUUUUGAUUUUAGCAACUGUGUAUAGCAACCGUGCAUAGCAACCAUGUAUUCCCCCCUUCCCGGUUUUGGCGGUUUUUGCCUUUAUAAACCCUAACCUUUGGUUAUUCGGGGCUGCUCUGCUCAUGAUGAUCAGACAGCCCCAGCAUGCUGGAUAAUCAAUAAAGCUUCCCCUUGCUGUUUGCAUAAGAGAUGUCUCUUGGUGACGUUUUUCGGGCAGUCGACUCUAACAUUUGGAGGCCCCAGCGAGAUCUGACUGCUGCCUGCAGACGUCUCCAACGGAUAUCUCUCGGGGUAAGUGCAGGCGCCUAUUUGUGUUGUCGGCCGGCUUAUUUGUGGUUUGUGUCUCUUCAUUCUGGAUUUUGGUAGUUUGUGAGCGCUCUAGGGUUUUGGGAACUGUGCUGGUGUAGUAGCUGCUGGGACAGGGCGUGAGCCCUUCCUGGCUGUGGCCGGCAGACGUGCCCGGGGCCACAGGCUACGGCCCUGAGGGACGCCUCAGGAGGACAAAGGAAGGCUGGGGACGCCCAGAUACUUCCGACGGGGCAGGCGUGGAGUCUGCAUUCCCAGCACAGACGGGGUGGCCGGUAAGGCCUUCUUAUUAUUAGUCUUUUGUAGUUGUAAGGUGCUUUGUUGGUUGUCUUGUUGUUUGUUGAUUGUGUUCUCUUGUCAUUUAGCAUUGUAUGGGGUGCUGUGAUGGCUCCCGUUUGGUAGAUUUGGAAUCUGCAUUUGUAUUGCCAGCAUUGUCGCGUGACUCUGAAGUGGUUCUGGAGUCUGCAUUUGUAGGUUCUGAAGUGGUUCCGGAGCUUGCAUUUGUAUUACCGGCAUCCUCACAGGGCUCUGAGGCGGUUCCAGAGUCUGUGUUUGUAUUGCCAGCAUCAUCGCGACCAGUAGUUUAUCUCAAUUCCUUUAUGGACACUUUGUGUGGUUGUUGUGUGCUGAUUCUCUACACUGUUUGUCUGUUCGUGUACAUUGUGAUGUCUGCUAACAUGGGCCAGACUGUGUCUACACCUUUGUCUCUAACUUUGAAUCAUUGGUCGGAGGUAAGCGACCGGGCACAUAACCUUUCUUUGUCAGUCAAGAAGGUAAAGUGGCAGUCUUUCUGUGCCUCUGAAUGGCCCCCCGGAGGGCUCUCCAUUUACCACUCAUUCGCCAAGUGAAAGAGGCCGUUCUCCUGCCUGGCCGUCAUGGGCACCCAGACCGGGAUUUUGAGAAAACAUCGGAGGUCAGUAUUCCUUCCCUCAAGCGGGACCGGAUCUGUGGGAGUGACCGGCACCCCACAGCUCUCCGAGAACGCGGAGUCCCCCCGGCCACGGCUUAGCUACGGCCGAAACUCCAGAGGGAUUGUAAGGAAUGGGAGGGAAAUUAGGAAGGGCAGUUGGCUGAGAGCCUGGAGACCCCCUGAGCUCGCUUUGGCUUCCCGGCGGCCGGACUGCGACCCGAGGACCAGGUCUCUCUCUCGGAGGGACGCCUGGUCACGCUGCCUACUGCUACGCGAGCAGGGCUUAGCUUCGGUCGAGGCUAAUAUUGGCCCUCCAGGUAAACUCAGACAACUAGGUAGUGGGUAACCUUGAGUGAUAGGAGAUUUCAAACCCCACUCAGCCCCCAGACAUGAGGAGCUUCAUUGCUUUCUGCCUUCCUUCUCCUCCCGGGGGCUCCCUCCCCCACUCUUUUGCUCUCCUCAUCUCCAUUCCUAUACCACUGGCGAGGAGAAAGGGAGAGGGAAAUUCCACAGGUCUCUCCACCUGGGGAAAAGCUGUUACCUGUUACCUGUUAACCCUUUCCAACCGGGUAAAAAGUUUUCCGUCUUUGCAGCUUAUGGUAGCUCUGGUGCGUCUUAAAAGUUUUUUGUAAACUAUUACUGUUGCUAAGCUUUGAUUGCCUGAGGACUAAAUCUGGAAAAGAGCUAAAGUUAACUAUCUGUUGUAAUUGACUGAGUGUCUGCAGUAGUCCUAAUUAAUCUGGCUUUGGUUAAAUUAUAGAAGGUUCCCAACACCCCACGGCUAGUCCUGCCAGGCCCCGGUGUGCGCAGUCUUCCCUGUAAAUGGGGGACCACAGCCUUUCUCUGCACUCCAAAUAUCUCUAGGCCCCCACCCCAGGGCUGCUUCUUUUUCCUCUCCUGGAGGAAUUUCCAAUUCAAUACCACUGCUGACCUUACCUAAGGGAGCCAGAACCUUAAGCCAUUAACCCUUUCCAAACUGAUGGGUUUUUCUCUUUGCAGUUAAUAAAAACCUAAACAAUGGGUUCAUAUGCUGAUAAUCAGCUCUUUUCUGUGCUGCUGUCCCUGACUCAUCUGAGAGCGUUCACCUGUCUUGAAGGUUUCGCGUUUUUCUAUUGCCAUUAUGAGUCUUGAUUGGAAAAACUACAGCGCGAAGUUUGUUUACAUUGUUUAUCUGUUUUUAAUGUCUAAGUAAUUACCCAACUGAUCAGAAAUGUACUAAUUUUGGCUAAAUGGUUUGACUCUCUGACAGCUUAAAUUCUAAACCGAGUCUUCCAACUUUGGGCUUCCAGUCGGAUCCCUGGAACUCUCAAAGGAUGAGACUCUAAAUUUGUUAAAGUAACAGCUGCUUGGGUCAAUUCAGAUUAUAUAAAAUAUAUUAAAAUAUUAUAAAUAGUGUCAGACCUAUGCUGUAUUUAUGUUUUUGCUUUCCAGCUAAAGCGGUCUUAUAAAAAUAAGAGUAAAUUCUGUGUAUACAAGCCUUUAUGUUGUUAACUAAAGAAAGCCAAUACAGAUUGGUUCAGAAAAUUGAGGUAAUGCAAAUGCCCUUCGGUUUGCUCAGUGGCUUGCUUGCUCAGUUUUACAUGUCUUUAAUAUGCUUUAAACUUGUUUCUCUUAAUGAGAAAGAUCUUUUCAAAGUUGUAAACAUACACUAAUGUUUGCUGUCCAGGAGGUGUUAUCCUUGUGUUACUUAAAAACAUAAAAAUGUAAUUUUAACUUUUAUUUCAGAUAAUGGUGUGGUAUUCAUUAAUAACUCAAUGUCUUAAGUCAUCUAGGCAUCAGUGCUAAGUAAAACUUGGAAAAAUAUAUUAUAUAUACUUUUAACAUCUCAAAUUCAAUAAAAAAAAAAAACUGUUUGAGUUUGUUAACAUGUAUUCUCAUAGGUUGGCCAUACAUGACAAUUCAAGACUAUGUAAAAAUAACUAUAAGUAUAAAGUUUCAAAAGGUGUAAACAAGUCAUAAAAAGUUUUAAAAUGUUUAUAAUUUUAAAAUAUUAUUUACAGAGUUAAGUGCUAAUGCUAAAAUUACACUGACCUAAAGUUAAAGUCUAAUCUUCUAUUAUAACAAUAAAGUUUAAAAAAAAAGUGUACUAAUAUUAGUAAAUAUCUAAAAAUGGUCUAAAUCCUAAAUCUUGGAAUCUGUUUCUGCAAAAACUGUAACGUCUAUUUUAACAGUGUCUGCUUAUUCGGUUACUCUGCCAUUUCUAGAGUUAGGUCCUGUAAGCUCUUUUUUUUUGACUCUGUUAAAUAAUCCUAAAUUAUGUAAACUCUUAUAUACAGGUUUUUUUUUUUAUUAUUUCUGGUUUAUUCGACAACAAGAGACAUAAAAUUCAUGUUAAUCCAUUGUGUACUCUACUGUCUCUGUUAAGUUAUGGUUAUGUGGCAGAUGCUAGAAAACUGGGUUCCAGAAACCCAAGAAAGCUCUCGUGUCUACAGGCUACACGGUAAAUACCCGGAAGCCAAAGAAUGGCAGAGACCUCUGCCACAAUUUCUCCUCUAAGUCAGGCUACACAGUAAACACUGGUUAAACUGCCAGUUAAAUCUAAAAGCCCAAAAAAGUCAGGCUAGAGACCCAACUCGCUGCCUCACUUCUCCUCUUUUUUCUUCCAGAAGGGAAGUUACUACUGUUCUGCAGGACUCUCCACUGUGACGUACGGUUUGAUCCCCAGACCUUAUGUAAGGGAUGACUGACCUUUUCUGUAAUAAUGCCUGGCCACAGUAUAGGGCCCCAAACAACAUAAUAAUAAUAAUAAAAAAAGGGGGUUAAACUGUAAAAUAAUGUGACAACUAGAUAAAUUUUUCGGUGUAAAAAGUUACACUAAUGACCUCAAAGUAUGCAAACAGGUCACCACAGUUGAUCUUACCUAAAGGGUCAUAGUUCUCCUCAUGGGCACGGUCUUAACUCGCAGGAAAAUACUAAGUGUCAGAAUUUGCCCAUGACCAUAAUUUUUCUAGCUCACCCUGAUAUUAAAAAAAUCUCCAAAAAUCAGGGUUGGGUUGGGCACCCCCCUUGACUGGCAUCAUAGAGGCUGCCUCCAUGGUCCACUUUAUUAGAGACCAGUGGAAUGAGGAGCAAGCUAGCAGCAGGAGCAAUGUAUGGAUGGGCAACAGGCCAAUCAAUGGCUGCUUUACACGGUGAUCUGCCGUCAAGGAGACCCAGUAAGGCCAGUGCACCCCAAACCUGUGCACCUGUUGCUGAUAUAAGGAGCCAGGGCGUUGGGCAAGCAGCUGUCGUAACAGCAAAUGCCUUCUGUCAGCCCUGCCAAGAGCAUGGCCACUGGACACGGAACUGCCCUGGGUGUCGAAGGACUCCUGGUUCAGAACUACAGACCCUGUGGCCCCGAGCCAAAAAGCCUUUGGCUCUGCCCAGCCUCUGCCCAGCUUCCAGCUCCAGCCACUGCUAUUGGGGAUGGCCUAGGGUCAGUAAAACGUAAAUUGCCUAUUUCUAUCAGCCUCCUAUUUAACUCUCCUAGUCCAGCCAUGUAAUGCGAGUCAACAGGGUGCCUCCCUUAAAGGAGAUUUGCAUCUCUUACAAUUUUCUUAACAGCACCCCAUGGAUAGGUCUGGGCCUCACACACCCUGCCAGGCCUUAAAAGUCUAUCCAAUAGUCCAGGGGGAAGUGGUCCCCUCCACUCCUGUACUGAAACUUACACCGUGUGUUUUUAAUGCCCUUAUUUGUUUUGUCUCUAACAGACUAAAAGCUGUUAACUCCAAAUGGUCGUCAGACAAGGCUUCCAGCCCAUUCCACUGGACUACCUGAACAGCCCUCUGGACCAAGCAGUACAGUCUUUCCAAGGCCACUGUUGCACACCAUAAGACAGGUAGCAAGAGGAAAUACCCAAAUCCCCCUCGACGCCCACAUGCCAGCUUCGAAGAAGUUACAGAAGACGGAACUCCAUCCAUAAUCCCAAAGAAGAAUUUUGGGUAUUACCUCUUAAAAAAAAAAAUAUUAGGCAGAAAGUCAGUUAUGAGCUUAUGUGUGUGUGACAUAAAGGCCUAAUGUGUCCAGCAUAUGCAUCUGCAUCUCAGUCAUCCUGACAAUGUUUCAUGGGCAGCCCGGCCUUUGCAUCCUGCCCUGCCCCCUUCUACCUGAUAACCUGCCAGGUGGAGAUCCUUCUGCCUGACAAAUCUUCCACAAUCUCCCAGAUGCAGCCCAGUAUCUGCAUUUCAGUAUUACAGAACAGGCGGGGGUUGGAUCUCAUUUUCGUGGGGUGGGGGGGUGUUAUGUAAGGCCCUAAAGGAAAAAUGCUAUUUUUAUGCUGACUGAACCCAGGUGGUUAAAAACUCCAUGGCCAAACUCAGAAAACAACUAAAAAAAAAAAAAAUAGCAACGGGAGAGGGAAACUCAACAAAAAUGGUUUGAGUCAUGGUUCGGCCAGUCCCCAUGACUUACUACUCUACUGUCAGCCCUAGCAGGACCCUUAAUUGUUCUACUCCUAAUUGUAACCAUAAGACCUUGUGUGUUAAAUAGACUCAUCACCUUCGUGCAGAAACAAAUUAAAAAUGUUAAACUCAUGAUCAUAAGACAACAAUAUGUCACAUUAAAAAACACAAAUAAUCUCUAAGAUUAGAGAUCCUCACAACAAGGAGUGGGGAAUGAAGAGUUAAAAUUGUAUAUGUGCGGGUGUAAAAAGUUAAGCUUAAGCUUACAGGUUUAAACCUUGCUGGUACAGCUGUAAAAAAAUAAGACAGAGUAGCACCUUGGCAGUAGGGACUCCAUUUUGGAGCACUUGAGACUGCAUUCUGGGAAAGCACCCCCCACCGUGAGACUCUGGUCUGAAACUAUGAUCUCAAAUAGUUGGACAAUAGCAGUGCACUACAUCACCCUUGGCAACACACAAAAACCCCCUAGCAUGAUUGCUCAAGCUUAAAAGUAGAAAGGUUGCACCUGGGUUACCUGGGCUAAUAAUGAAGAUGUGAUUUGUCUGUGUCUUACAUUAAUGUCAAGUCCUAAUUGCUGAUUGUAAUAUUGUAACUGGUAUUGUCAAGAUUAUGAUAAAUAUUAAUUUCACUUAGGUUUUAGGUUAUGUUGACCCCAGUAACCAUAUACUCUCUUUUGAUUUUAUGUACUCUCUUUUGAUUUUAGCAACUGUGUAUAGCAACCGUGCAUAGCAACCAUGUAUUCCCCCCUUCCCGGUUUUGGCGGUUUUUGCCUUUAUAAACCCUAACCUUUGGUUAUUCGGGGCUGCUCUGCUCAUGAUGAUCAGACAGCCCCAGCAUGCUGGAUAAUCAAUAAAGCUUCCCCUUGCUGUUUGCAUAA